UACGGGGGGGGCAAGCGUUGUUCGGAAUUACUGGGCGUAAAGAGCUCGUAGGCGGCUCAGUAAGUCGGGUGUGAAACCCUCAGGCUCAACCUGGGGACGCCACCCGAUACUGCUGUGGCUAGAGUCCAGUAGGGGAGUGUGGAAUUCCCGGUGUAGCGGUGAAAUGCGCAGAUAUCGGGAGGAACACCAGCGGCGAAGGCGGCUACCUGGACCAGCACUGACACUGAGGCGCGAAAGCUAGGGGAGCAAACAGG
rnacentral:rRNA from 1 species